AUACAUCACUGACAGACCUGGAGCAGUUAAUGUCUGGUGCUAAGGUUUCCACUACAGAUGCAAGAAAAAGAAGGUCCUCGUGCUUUCUGCCUGUCUGGUUGUGGCAGCCAAGAUUGAAUGGGGGAAUACAGGA
ensembl:snoRNA